rnacentral:tRNA from 1 species
CGGGCUGUAGCGCAGUUUGGUAGCGCACUUGCUUUGGGAGCAAGGGGUCCUCGGUUCAAAUCCGAGCAGCCCGACCA